CUGCUCACGCUCCUUCCCCAGCACCUUAGAGGCUGGGUGAGCCGCAGCCGGCGGUUCUGUACCGCGGCUCCCUUCCCAGGCUGAGUCCAGCGGGCUGCAAAGUGCCCCCCGCCGCUUGCCUGUGAGCCCUGCAGCGGAGCCCCACCCAUAAAGUUACUGUUUAUGCUGCCCAGUUACAAUAUGGCGGCUCCCAUGGAGGAAGCGUGAAUCUCUCCUGCCUGCUUUGGCUUCCUGCUGCAGUGGUGCCUGUGGCACCAAAGUACUGGAACUUGAAGAGUUCCUAUUGCCACAGAAAUCUGCGGAUUUCUUUCUGCAGUUGAACAUCAACAUUUCAUCUUCAGAGACUGCUGUCUCAGUGACAACACUGUGGAAGAAAGUAUUUUGUGGGCAUUACCAACAAGCCAUCUCUGAAGCCCGGUGUCUCCAGAUAUGUUAUUGGGAGAGAAACCGGAUCAGACCCAGCUGCCUUGUACAUACCAAACAACUCACUGUUUCGUCUUACAAGAGUCAUGGACAGUUAUUUCCAUCUCAUUCUUUUGGGGGGAAAAAUGCCAGCCUCUUUAAGAAAACUACAGCAAAUGGCUAUUUAUCUGGGGCUGUUAAGUGGUGGGGGAUGUGCUGUGAUGUAUUAUCUUAUGCAAAAAAAUUUUGCCAGGACACAGUAUUAUCAGCUGGCUAUUGAGCAGCUUAAGAAUGACCCUGCAGCCUUGGAGGCACUGGGGGCUCCCCCUCUUAAAGUUCACAACAUCAGACUGACAGACAAGAGUAAUCGCGUUGACAUGGCCAGAGCACAGUUAAAGAUACCAGUAUCUGGAACAAAAUCAGCUGGAUAUCUCUGUACCAAUUCAGUAAGAGACCUCUCCCUUAACUGGUUAAUUCGUUGUGAUGGAGCCAUGGAGAAGCCAUGCCUUCAGGCAGAGUUUUCCUAGAUUCAGGUGAAGAACAAGACCCUCAUCCUGAGAGAGAGGAAGGGUGUACGGGGUGCAAAGCGCCAUGCUGUUCAGUCUCAUGUUCCAGAGGGAUGUUCUGACUUUGUGCGACCCAUUUGAGUAAGUCCUGGAAUCGUUUUGAGUCAUCUGUGAUGGCAGACAGAGAUGGCAAUACCGCCUUGUCUGGAGAUGAAGAUAAAUUGUGGGCUGGUGAGCAGUCUUGUGGAUUGGAAUCCUCCAACUCCUUGGAAUCCACAUGCACCUCCGAGGGCUCAGUGGCUGUCACUGUAGAAGGGUGAAUCUGUCACCUCUGUGGGGUGUGAGGUAAAUUUCUGACACCGCCCCUGGAGCUCCAUCUGCAGCUGAGGGCGGUCAAGAAGGAACUGAGGGGGUCAGGACGCGCGAGCACUAGAUGAAGCGCCAACAGUACCGUGAGACAGCUACUGCACACGCACAUCCCAACCAGGCACUGCUCCCAAAAACCUCUGAUCAGCAGCGCCAGGACACAUCGACACCUGAAGUGGAGCAUCCACAGGGACAGCUCUCAAAGAAGAACUUAACCAUACUAAAUACCUCAGUGGAGAAAAAAAAAGUUACACUGUCAAGACUCCACUAAUAGGAGGCUACAGCUUUAGACUCGGGAGUCUUUCAGCUUUAUUUAAAUGGGACCUACUUAAUCUAAAUCACAGGCAUGAUUUAAGUCCACAUUUUCUCACAGUGGAAUUAGAAAUAUCAGAUAUUUCCACCCAUGUGCAGGGACAGAAAACAUUUUUGAUAGCUGGGUGCUAACUGUUGGCAAAAUAUUGACUAAGUGGCAACUCCUGCAAUGCCAGGAAGAACAGAUACUUAUCAACCUCUUUUGAGGUUGUUUUACAGUCCUAGGAUUUCAAGCAAGUUUCAAAAAAAUUCACGAAGGCAUCCAAAAAAUUGGGCACCAAGGCAUCCAUCCACCAAAGUACUUAAACACAUGGCUAAUUUGACUUCACUGGCUACUGUUGUAGUGCUUCUCUGUGUUAUUUUAAACUUCCUUUAAAUGAGUCACUGUUAUAGACCGACAUGUUGAAAGAGGUGGUGCUGAACAAUUCAAUUAGAUUGCAGUAAAUCUUCAGGACUAGAUUAUUAUAGGUGAGGCUCAUAAUGCUGCUAAUUAUGAAGGUUUUCUGACACCUCCCAUUGUAAGACUGUUUUCAGUUGCUUACAAAACUUUGUCCAACUUUAACCAUUUAGGCUGAAAUUUAUCAUGCUAAGCUGGGGCUCUGACAGUGAACCUGGAGGGGGACAGUAAGACUGGCUAAGCAAGGAGACUUGGAAGAGGAGCCAGAAGAGUGGAAACUGGGACUGGGAGGGGGAACCUGGGGUGGGGAAGAGAAGGGGCAGAAGAGUCUAUGACCACUUCAGCACAAUCUCCUCCAGUGCCUGGAAUGGAAUCCAAGAUUCCUGGAGUUUCACCAUUCCUCUGCUGUCAGCAAAUAUAUCUGUGAAACCAACUGGCAAAAUGUGCAUCUCAAAUCCUGCGUAGUGCUGGUCCAGAUAGCAGCAAUAUGUUGUCAUCUUCUAUCAGUUACUCUGGUAGCUCAAGUGGCAGGGGUCUGUGAAGUGGAUCUAAAGAUUCCAACCCUGCUGACUACAUGUGGGUGCCAAUAGGAUGCCACAUAAUGGAAUUUCUCCCUCCCUCCCCCCAGUUUUGUCUUUGUAAAGAUUUAGGAAAUUAUACAGAAAACUAUGUUAAUAGACCAUUAAGGUUGCAAAAUAAAGCAUUCAGAAGUUAGAAAAUGCCUUCAUUAAGGUUGCUUGUGCAAGUCAGACCCCUUGUGCAUAUGCGCUAUAAUACAGUAUUUAGUAACAUGAUUGCAGACUAUUUGCCACAUUUUGUGUGUGUAAUAUACAUACAAGAGUACUAAAGUACUUUAAGAAAAAUGGCUACUGAACUGCUAAUAAAGAUGUUUUGCAUUAAAGUCAAUUACCGCACUGGAGAGUAACAAAAGUACCUAUCUUAAAGGAACUAGAUGUGAUCUUGGAAAUUACGCAUCAGUCAACCUUACUGCAGUAUCAGUUUCCCCUCAAAGGGCUGAUCCUCCACCAUGAACUGGACAUCCUUGGGAAAUCUGGAGGAUUAGAGCCACAACAACCAAUGCACGACCACAGAAGUUGCCAUCAAGAACAACAUUAUAUCUGCUGUAUCAACUAAGGCUUGAAGGGAUGCUCUGGCUAGCAAUUUACCCUCAAUGAGUGCUUGGAAUUGCAGCCUAUCUUUUUGUGGGAAUUAGUGAAUUCCUCAAACUUAGUAUAAUUAAUAAAAUCAUAUUCUGACAUUAAGGUUUGGUAAUUUGCUAUGUGAAACUGUACACUCAAAGUCAAUAUUUUUCUUCCAAAAAGUUAUAAGUAUUUAGCUUUCUUAUCAGAGGGGAGUAGACACGGUCUACUUCUCUCAGUAACAGCUUGUACUACUAAUGAAUUCAGAGCAGGGCAUAUAAAUAAAAAUUCUGCCCUUUAGAUGGCACAGAGUACUUCUCCAUUCUUUUUGGAGUGAAGGCACAAGUGGCUGGAGUGUGCCAGAUGGUCUUGGCUGAUUCUAAAAUGGCUUCGUUAAUGGGACCAGUCUCUGGAGAAUGCAGAGUAAAUUAUGAGGAAUGUCCUGCAAUUCCUCCAGAGGGAUACGGAAUGUGUCUGCAAUCCUCCUCAGUAAAUCUUCAAGUUGCCUGUUACCACUAGGCAGUGAUGGUGAAGCCAGUACAAUCACAUCUGGAGAUGAAGAUGACAUUAGGGCUGGUGGUUCUGUCUGAUCUAGUUCCUCCUCUUCCUCCACUAGUUCUUGAGGAGGUUCGGGAUCUUCUCUGCGAACGAAGUGUUGUCUGGAUUCCCAAUGGGAUCAUCUAGAUUCAAGAUAUUGCAUGUAUGGAUCCGAUAGUAUCCAGUAAGGCCAGUUUGAGAGGUCAAAUGGAAAUUGGGAUAGUCACCAUGGAGGAGACUACCACUAGUCUCCAGGUGCACAAUCCCUCUUAUGAAAUCAGGAUGGUGCCUAUGAGACUCUGGGUCCUCUGUCUGGACUGAUCCUUUGUCUCUAUGGGAGUGGUGAUGAUCUCCCACUAAACCUGACUUUUCAGAAGCACUGGCAGUUUUGAAUUCUAUGGAUGGUGCUGCCUUAUUAUGCCCAACUGGUAGACUGUAGGGAGAGCCACUCACCAGUACCUUGCAUGCUCUGGACCAGUGGUGUAGAGACCUUCCUGGUCAGAACGGGUUCCAACAGAAUUGGGGAUUCCAAGACCACAUAGAUGGACUUGUCCUUGGGGGCCUCAUAUGUAUCUCCUAAUGC